AAAAGGCCAAACCCUGGAUUUGCGUGUCCAACUUUGACUGUCCGUCUUAUAUGAAAUUUUUUUAUAAUUCGUAUUUUCAUUGUUGUUAGAUGAUAAAACAUGAUUAAUAUUUUAUGCGUGACUUGUCUUUUUAUUUUUUUCAAAUAAGACGGACGGUUAAAUAUUGGGCACGGAAACCAGGGUUUGUCUUUUU
rfam:Oryza sativa Japonica Group DNA, chromosome 5, cultivar: Nipponbare, complete sequence.